UGCCCUUAGUACGGCGAGUGAAGCGGCAAGAGCUCAAUUUGAAAUCUGGUGCCCCCGGCGCCCGAGUUGUAAUUUGAAGAUAGUUUUCUGGCAGCGGCCCUUGUCUAUGUUCCUUGGAACAGGACGUCAUAGAGGGUGAGAAUCCCGUCUGAUGGGGUGUCCGCGGCCGUGUAGAUCUCUAUCGAAGAGUCGAGUUGUUUGGGAAUGCAGCUCUAAGUGGGUGGUAAAUUCCAUCUAAAGCUAAAUACUGGCGAGAGACCGAUAGCGAACAAGUACAGUGAUGGAAAGAUGAAAAGAACUUUGAAAAGAGAGUGAAAAAGUACGUGAAAUUGUU
rnacentral:rRNA from 1 species